CUAUUUACAUUUCAAUUUUAGCCCUUAAAUUGACCCCUCAUUAAACCCCAAUCUCAAUUUCAAAUGGACCGGACCCAAAUCCUAAAUUACCCGCCCAUGACCUAAUUAAAACAACAACUCGGCUCCCCUUUUGAUCCAGGCCGUGAUCAUUUUGAUCAAUGGUCAUAAUUCCCCUUUCCUUUUUAAUUCCCAAACACCCCUAACCCUAAUCACUUUCACCUAAUCAGUCGCCUUUGAAUCCCUUUGUCUUCCAAACUCUCUCGAAGGUUCUUCAGAACCCUAUUCAUCUUCUACCCUUUUCAACCGCACUUUCACCUGAAUCCAUGGCUUCUCAGGCCAUGGAUGGCCUAUACUCACCCCCUCCACCAUUAGACCAUGGGUGUUCAAAGUUUCGAUGUCUGAACUCGAUGGUUUUCCUUCAAAUCUUCUCAGAUCUAUGGUUCUAUGGUCUCUCCGGCCUUGCUUCGGCGUAUCCAAAACAUUAGGAGCCUGAUUCUAACUCAUCCGACUCAAGACUGGACUUUCUUACAAGCCUUUAUCAUUUCUAGUGUUUCUUCGAAACCCUAAGCUAUUCGAG
rnacentral:lncRNA from 1 species